GGUCAGGAUGAACGCUGGCGGCGUGCCUAACACAUGCAAGUCGAGCGAGAAACCUUGAUGACACUCGGUGAUUCAAAGGCGGAAAGCGGCGGACGGGUGAGUAACGCGUAGGCAACCUGCCCCUUGCAGAGGGAUAGCCUCGGGAAACCGGGAUUAAAACCUCAUAAUGCUGAUCCUACACAUGUUUGAUCAGCCAAAGAUUUAUCGGCAAGGGAUGGGCCUGCGUCUGAUUAGGCUGGUUGGUGGGGUAACGGCCUACCAAGGCAAUGAUCAGUAGCCGACCUGAGAGGGUGAUCGGCCACAUUGGAACUGAGACACGGUCCAAACUCCUACGGGAGGCAGCAGUGGGGAAUAUUGCACAAUGGGCGAAAGCCUGAUGCCAGCAACGCCGCGUGAGCGAUGAAGGCGGAUUCGUCGUAAAGCUCUGUCCUUGGGGAAGAAGAACUGACGGUACCCUUGGAGGAGGCCCCGGCUAAAUACGUGCCAGCAGCCGC
rnacentral:rRNA from 1 species